UACGUAGGGGGCAAGCGUUGUCCGGAAUUAUUGGGCGUAAAGAGCGUGUAGGCGGUCCGGUAAGUCAGCUGUGAAAGUCAAGGGCUCAACCCUUGAAUGCCGGUUGAUACUGUCGGGCUAGAGUCCGGAAGAGGCGAGUGGAAUUCCUGGUGUAGCGGUGAAAUGCGCAGAUAUCAGGAGGAACACCGGUGGCGAAGGCGGGUCUCUGGGCCGAUACUGACGCUGAGGAGCGAAAGCGUGGGGAGCAAACAGG
rnacentral:rRNA from 1 species